UUUCCUAUCUUUUAACCAGUUACCUAUCUAUGAGAGGACCUUCCCUCUUAUUGCAUGCAGCUUACUUUGCUUAAGAGCCUUUGGUGAGGGACCUUGCCAAAGGCUUUCUGAAAAUUUAAGAACACUAUAUCCACUUGAUUCCUUGUUUGCAAAUUUGUUUACAGUAAAAAUGCUAU